AAAAAAAAAAAAAAAAAACUUAAACGCAAAAUCACAGAGGAACCCUAAGCCUUUAACACGUUCUACCUUCCCAAGCUCUGCCGUUUCUCCACACGCAAAUCGCAGCUCAACGGCUCCACCUUCUCCGGCGCCACCCUUCUCCAGUUCUAUAUUUGUCGGCCCCACCGUUUGAUUAUCUCUUCAGCCCUCAAGUAUACUCAUCCAAAACCUUCUUCUCUCUCCUCAGAAACCCUCUUUCUCUCCAAAAAUCAAAUCCUUCUCCUUCCCCCAAAAUCAAAAUCCAAAACUUAGGAUGAGAAAGAAGGAAGAGCCGAUCAGAUACGUCGGGAAACGAUUGACCCAUCGUCUUUACCUCUCAGAGCUCGCCUUACUCUCCAUCUGACAAACCAAGGAAAGGAACCUGGUAACCCAUCGUCUUUACCUCUCAGACCCAUCGUCUUUACCUCUCAGAGCUCGCCUUACUCUCCAUCUGACAAACCAAGGAGAGGAACCUGGUACAAUGAUGAAGAAGCCAGAAUUCUUGACGACCUGCAAGGCUGACUAGCGGUCGCACUUCAAAUCCAAGGUAAAAGUCUAUGUUACAAAAAAUAUAUAACGAAAGCAGUUGAUAAUGAAGAAAUUAGCUUGAUGAAACAAAACAACUUUACAUCAGUGGGAUUUGGGUCUGAAUUUGAUGUGGUAGCUGUUCCUAAUUGGUUGAUUACUUAUCAGAAGGAAAAAUGUUCAGGCAAAAUCUUCUUAAGAGAUGCAACGCAACAACCACCUCUCUCUCUCUCCCUCUCUCUAUAGUGGAAAGUGAUGAUUUCAAUAAUUGUGUAAAUUGGCAUUGUGUUGCCUUUUCAAUCCCAUUGAGAUGUAGCAUUUUUAUUUACUGGCAAUGUUAGAAUUUAGAUACAUCUUGGACAUCAAGAAUGAUUAAUGUAAUGUAUGAACUAUAUUUGAAUGAUUAAUGUAAUGUAUGAAUUAUAUUUGAA